rnacentral:rRNA from 1 species
GCGGGAGGGAUGACGGCCUAUGGGUUGUAAACCUCUUUUUUCAGGGAGGAAUAAAUGACGUGUACCUGAAGAAUAAGCAUCGGCUAACUCCGUGCCAGCAGCCGCGGUAAGACGGAGGAUGCAAGUGUUAUCCGGAAUCACUGGGCGUAAAGCGUCUGUAGGUGGUUUAAUAAGUCAACUGUUAAAUCUUGAGGCUUAACCUCGAAAUCGCAGUCGAAACUAUUAGACUAGAGUAUAGUAGGGGUAAAGGGAAUUUCCAGUGGAGCGGUGAAAUGCGUAGAUAUUGGAAAGAACACCAAUGGCGAAGGCACUUUACUGGGCUAUUACUAACACUGAGAGACGAAAGCUAGGGUAGCAAAUNGGGAUUAGAUACCCCAGUAGUCCUAGCCGUAAACAAUGGAUACUAGAUGUUGAACAGAUCGACCUGUGCAGUAUCAAAGCUAACGCGUUAAGUAUCCCGCCU